CCUACGGGAGGCAGCAGUGAGGAAUAUUGGUCAAUGGCCGAGAGGCUGAACCAGCCAAGUCGCGUGAGGGAAGACGGCUCUACGGGUUGUAAACCUCUUUUGUCCGUGAGCAAACCCAGUCACGCGUAACUCACUGAGAGUACCCUAAGAAUAAGCAUCGGCUAACUCCGUGCCAGCAGCCGCGGUAAUACGGAGGAUUCGAGCGUUAUCCGGAUGUAUUGGGUUUAAAGGGUGCGUAGGUGGGGUGUUAAGUCAGUGGUGAAAUUUCGCGGCUCAACCGUGGAAUUGCAAUUGAUACUGGCCGCCUAGAGAAGAGUUGAGGUAGGCGGAAUGCGUGGUGUAGCGGUGAAAUGCUUAGAUAUCACGAAGAACACCGAUUGCGAAGGCAGCCUACUAAGCUACCUCUGACGUUGAGGCACGAAAGCGUGGGUAGCAAACAGGAUUAGAUACCCGGGUAGUC
rnacentral:rRNA from 1 species